CAAUUACUAUUAACCAAGCUACAAAGGAACCAAUCCCGGACCAGUUUCAAGAAAACCAACUAGUCCACGAAAAACCAGAGACAACUCCUGUAAAAGAUAUGGAAUAUGUGGGCAAUUUUGAAGAAGGAAUUUUAAGGAGCUGCACAAAAACACAUGGUCUUAAGAAUUCUGAAAGUCCGAAUUUACACAAUAAAUUCAAGGUUUUU